GUUUUUCACCAUGCUCAGUUGGUUAGCAGAAUCGGUGUAAUAGGUGUGACUGUUUAUUGCUCCAAUAUAAGAGUUUGGCUGUGCUAUCCGGUUUUGGAAUCUGCCGUUCAGUUACCUAUUUCUCUUCGUCAGUCUAAUAAAGAGUGAGGAUUUGUUUUUCAAUAUAACGGGGAAGCUUUCAAUUGAUGAAACUGCUACUUUAAGAAGGAUCAUGUUAUCAUCAUUGUAGUUGGAAUCACAGAUAGUGGGAAAACAGUGUUUAUGCAUCGAUUGGUUCGUCGUACAAGAGCAUUAACAUAUGAGGAAUUGUUUGCCAAUUUUGAUGCAGCUGCUGUGACAUUUCCAUGUGGUGUGAAUACUGAUCUAUGAUCAACCAAAUACCUUCACUCAUAGCUACUUUUGAUGUUGAACUAGAAGACAACGUACUGUAAUACAUUCUUAUUGGUUUCUUGCACAUACAUACACUUCAAAGUUCUGGGUCUCAUCUUCCUGCUUUGAUUCUUCAGAAAUCCUUCUCAAAAUUCUGAGGAAAACAAAAGAGACACUGUAAUUCAUUUCUUGGGAACUUUUUAAAAGAAACAAAGAAAAAGAUUGUAGAGAAAUAUGUCAAGCAUUAGAAGAAUGUGCUGCAAUGAUCUUCUUGACAUGACCCCUAUAACGAUAAAUCAGAGAGCUACAACUGGGCAAGAUAGUUAUAGAUCUUUAUUGUGCUAUGGCAUGGUGUACCCUGAUUACGCUCUUGUUGGUGUAUCCUCUGGCAAUUGAAUUCUGGGUUACAAUAAAAAGGUGUUGUGACAUAACUGAGAUGGAUUACCGCGGUGCAGAGUUUGCUGAGCUUAGUGAUAUGUUUAUCCAGAAAAUAGUGGACAAGGCUGACAAGAUAUGUGCUCAGUCGAUGAUGGCGAUGCCCAGCCACUAUGGGAAGCAAUUGCAGGUCAUGUUUCCGUAUAAGGUGCGAAUAGUAACCCCAGGUUCUGUGUUAUCUCCCAUUAACACAUUGAAUUUUCCAUUAACCUUAACUUCUACCUCUUUUCAGGCCUCAACUUAAG